GAUGAACGCUGGCGGCGUGCCUAAUACAUGCAAGUCGAGCGAACGGACGAGAAGCUUGCUUCUCUGAUGUUAGCGGCGGACGGGUGAGUAACACGUGGAUAACCUACCUAUAAGACUGGGAUAACUUCGGGAAACCGUAGCUAAUACCGGAUAAUAUUUUGAACCGCAUGGUUCAAAAGUGAAAGACGGUCUUGCUGUCACUUAUAGAUGGAUCCGCGCUGCAUUAGCUAGUUGGUAAGGUAACGGCUUACCAAGGCAACGAUGCAUAGCCGACCUGAGAGGGUGAUCGGCCACACUGGAACUGAGACACGGUCCAGACUCCUACGGGAGGCAGCAGUAGGGAAUCUUCCGCAAUGGGCGAAAGCCUGACGGAGCAACACCGCGUGAGUGAUGAAGGUCUUCGGAUCGUAAAGCUCUGUUAUUAGGGAAGAACAUAUGUGUAAGAAACUGUGCACAUCUUGACGGUACCUAAUCAGAAAGCCACGGCUAACUACGUG
rnacentral:rRNA from 1 species